GAUGAACGCUGGCGGCGUGCCUAAUACAUGCAAGUAGAACGCUGAAGGAGGAGCUUGCUCUUCUGGCUGAGUUGCGAACGGGUGAGUAACGCGUAGGUAACCUGCCUGGUAGCGGGGGAUAACUAUUGGAAACGAUAGCUAAUACCGCAUGACAACAGUUAUUGCAUGAUAACUGUUUAAAAGGGGCAAUUGCUCCACUACCAGAUGGACCUGCGUUGUAUUAGCUAGUUGGUGAGGUAACGGCGCUACAAGGCGACGAUACAUAGCCGACCUGAGAGGGUGAUCGGCCACCCUGGGACUGAGACACGGCCCAGACUCCUACGGGAGGCAGCAGUAGGGAAUCUUCGGCAAAGGACGGAAGUCUGACCGAGGAACGCCGCGUGGGUGAAGAAGGUUUUCGGAUCGUAAAGCUCCGUUGUAAGGGAAGAACGAGUGUGGGAGUGGAAAGUUCACACUGUGACGGUAUCUUACCAGAAAGGGACGGCUAACUACGUG
rnacentral:rRNA from 1 species